AGGACUUUGUCCUAACCUACAUUUCUGAAAACUCAGCCAGAAAGAAGAUGGGAGGCAGGCAGCACGUCUGAUGGGUCCCUUGGGAGCCAUAAACAUCCAAUUCAACCUUGUGUGCUCCUGGUCCUCACCCGAAAUGACCAGGCCAACUUUGUGGAAGGGGGGAAAAGGUCCGAACAGUUUUCACACCUCAGCCCAAGAGAUACUAAACUACAAAGAGCCAGUGUAAGCUGAAAUGGUUUCAAAUCCCAGUUGGCCACUUAUGAGAUUCCCGCCUUGAGUAUGGACAACAGUCACCCACUUCACAGGGAGGAGGGAUUAAGGGAGGAAGCCCUUGUGUAACACGGGCUCAAGGCGAACACUCAAAGACUCAAUGAACGGUAGUUUCUGUUAUUAUUGUCACUGAACACGUUGAUUGACUGUGACACAAA
rnacentral:lncRNA from 1 species